rnacentral:lncRNA from 1 species
GCAAAAUAAAGUGAUUCAAUUGACAAAAGAAAACAAUGGAUGAAUGGAUGUUAUUGGGGGUUUACAAUUUCAUCUAAUCCGCUCUCUCUUACCUACUCCUCUUGAAUAUUAGUUUGAUUAAUUAAUUGUUAUGCGACUUUCUUAGCCUCCCCUUAACCCGAUCCCUCGGCGAAAAGAGCCUAAUAUUAACUACUGGCUUGCUAUCCCUAGCCUCCCCUAGCAAUUAAUAUCGCAUUAUAAACAGAAGUUAGCGCAAUUG